rnacentral:rRNA from 1 species
UACGUAGGGUGCGAGCGUUGUUCGGAAUUACUGGGCGUAAAGCGCGUGUAGGCGGCUCUGCAAGUCGGGUGUGAAAUCCCACGGCUCAACCAUGGAAGUGCACUCGAAACUGCAGGGCUAGAGUCCUGGAGAGGAAGGUGGAAUGCUUGGUGUAGAGGUGAAAUUCGUAGAUAUCAAGCGGAACACCGGUGGCGAAGGCGGCCUUCUGGACAGUGACUGACGCUGAGACGCGAAAGCGUGGGGAGCAAACAGG